GGAAGCACGUGGCUAUUCGAAGCGCGUUUCUCCUGGCCGUCGCCAUAGUGACAGCGUUGGGCAACAUUGUCAGUCUCGCCCGCCUGCCCACGCGGAAGAUGUUGACCAAGCAGCUGACCAGCAGGGACGAAAUGCUGCUGUCGGCAGGUCCAAUGGGACAGCUACAGUGGACGCUCGUGGCCAUUCCUGGUUCUGUGGUGGCAUUCCUCGUCUCUUGCUGCUACUUCUACGCCAGGAACCUGUCACCGUACGAGCCCAACAAUCCGGAGGAGAACAGCGUGGUGCAGACGACGGCUAAGACGAGACUGAAACUUCUAAGUAC